rnacentral:rRNA from 1 species
GAUGAACGCUAGCGGCAGGCCUAAUACAUGCAAGUCGAGGGGCAGCGGGAGUAGCAAUACUUGCCGGCGACCGGCGCACGGGUGCGUAACACGUAUACAAUCUGCCUAUAUCAGGGAGAUAGCCCGGAGAAAUUCGGAUUAAUAUCCCAUAACAUAGUUGAAUGGCAUCAUUUAAUUAUUAAAGUUCCGACGGAUAUAGAUGAGUAUGCGUCCUAUUAGCUAGUUGGUAGUGUAACGGACUACCAAGGCGACGAUAGGUAGGGGUACUGAGAGGUUAAACCCCCACACUGGUACUGAGACACGGACCAGACUCCUACGGGAGGCAGCAGUAAGGAAUAUUGGACAAUGGUGGCAACACUGAUCCAGCCAUGCCGCGUGCAGGAUGAAGGACCUAUGGUUUGUAAACUGCUUUUGUGCGAGAGAAAACCCUCUACGUGUAGGAGGCUGAUAGUAUCGCAAGAAUAAGCAUCGGCUAACUUCGUG